rnacentral:rRNA from 1 species
AUGCAAGUCGAACGAAGUAGCAAUACUUAGUGGCAGACGGGUGAGUAACAUGUAGGUAUCUGCCCUAUGGCCUGGAAUAACACGAGGAAACUUGUGCUAAUACCGGAUAAGUCUUUACAGAGAAAGCUUUAUGCACCAUUGGAUGAGCCUGCACUUGAUUAGUUUGUUGGUGGGGUAAUGGCCUACCAAGACUGUGAUCAAUAGCUGAUUUGAGAGGAUGAUCAGCCACAUUGGGACUGAGACACGGCCCAAACUCCUACGGGAGGCAGCAGUGGGGAAUCUUGCACAAUGGAGGAAACUCUGAUGCAGCGAUGCCGCGUGAGUGAAGAAGGCCUUUGGGUUGUAAAGCUCUUUCGUCGGGGAAGAAAAUGACUGUACCCGAAUAAGAAGGUCCGGCUAACUUCGUGCCAGCAGCCGCGGUAAUACGAAGGGACCUAGCGUAGUUCGGAAUUACUGGGCUUAAAGAGUUCGUAGGUGGUUGAAAAAGUUGGUGGUGAAAUCCCAGAGCUUAACUCUGGAACUACCAUCAAAACUUUUCAGCUAGAGUAUGAUAGAGGAAAGCAGAAUUUCUAGUGUAGAGGUGAAAUUCGUAGAUGUUAGAAAGAAUACCAAUUGCGAAGGCAGCUUUCUGGAUCAUUACUGACACUGAGGAACGAAAGCAUGGGUAGCGAAGAGGAUUAGAUACCCUCGUAGUCCAUGCCGUAAACGAUGUGUGUUAGACGUUGGAAAUUUAUUUUCAGUGUCGCAGCGAAAGCGAUAAAC